ACCCUUUCCCCGGAGUUCGGAUCCAUUUGCCGACUUCCUUACCUACUUAGUCUAUCAGCCAGAGGCUCUCGAACCUCGGAGACCUGGGCGGGUGAGUAACACGUGAGUAACCUACCCUUGACUCUGGGAUAAGCCCGGGAAACUGGGUCUAAUACCGGAUAGGAACGUCCACCGCAUGGUGGUUGUUGGAAAGAUUUAUCGGUCAUGGAUGGACUCGCGGCCUAUCAGCUUGUUGGUGAGGUAAUGGCUCACCAAGGCGACGACGGGUAGCCGGCCUGAGAGGGUGACCGGCCACACUGGGACUGAGACACGGCCCAGACUCCUACGGGAGGCAGCAGUGGGGAAUAUUGCACAAUGGGCGAAAGCCUGAUGCAGCGACGCCGCGUGAGGGAUGACGGCCUUCGGGUUGUAAACCUCUUUCAGUAGGGAAGAAGCGAAAGUGACGGUACCUGCAGAAGAAGCACCGGCUAACUACGUGCCAGCAGCCGCGGUAAUACGUAGGGUGCGAGCGUUAUCCGGAAUUAUUGGGCGUAAAGAGCUCGUAGGCGGUUUGUCGCGUCUGUCGUGAAAGUCCGGGGCUUAACCCCGGAUCUGCGGUGGGUACGGGCAGACUAGAGUGCAGUAGGGGAGACUGGAAUUCCUGGUGUAGCGGUGGAAUGCGCAGAUAUCAGGAGGAACACCGAUGGCGAAGGCAGGUCUCUGGGCUGUAACUGACGCUGAGGAGCGAAAGCAUGGGGAGCGAACAGGAUUAGAUACCCUGGUAGUCCAUGCCGUAAACGUUGGGCACUAGGUGUGGGGACCAUUCCACGGUUUCCGCGCCCGCAGCUAACGCAUUAAGUGCCCCGCCCGGGGGAGUACGGCCGCAAGGGCUAAAAACUCCAAAGGAAUUUGACGGGGGGCCCGGCACAAAGCGGCGGAAGCAAGGCGGAAUUAAUUUCGAUGCAACCCCGAAGAAACCUUACCCAAGGGCUUUGACAUUGUUUCUCGAAUCGC
rnacentral:rRNA from 1 species